AACGAACGCUGGCGGCAGGCCUAACACAUGCAAGUCGAACGCGCGUAGCAAUACGCGAGUGGCGCACGGGUGAGUAACACGUGGGAACCAACCCUGAGGUUCGGAAUAACCGCGGGAAACUGCGGCUAAUACCGGAUAUCCCCUACGGGGGAAAGAUUUAUCGCCUUGGGACGGGCCCGCGUCCGAUUAGCUAGUUGGUGAGGUAAUGGCUCACCAAGGCUCCGAUCGGUAGCUGGUCUGAGAGGACGACCAGCCACACUGGAACUGAGACACGGUCCAGACUCCUACGGGAGGCAGCAGUGGGGAAUAUUGGGCAAUGGAGGCAACUCUGACCCAGCCAUGCCGCGUGGGUGACGAAGGUCUUCGGAUUGUAAAGCCCUUUCGGCGGGGACGAUGAUGACGGUACCCGCAGAAGAAGCCCCGGCUAACUUCGUGCCAGCCGCCGCGGUAACAC
rnacentral:rRNA from 1 species